AAAUAUCAAUUCGAUUUAAUGCAAACCAAAUUUUCCAAAAGUCCCCUAAAUUGCAAAUCCUUAAUAAAGUUAUCAAUCCAAAACACCCCCAAAUCACAAAUCCUCAACAAACAAAUCAAAAUGCAAAAACCCAGUGCAACAAAGUGGAAAUUACAAACCUAGUUAAACAAAUUAGAUACAAUACAGUAUAAAUGCAAACCCGUCAAAAUGUAGAAACAUAAUUGCACAAAUUACAUAUAAAUCAAUUACAACCCAAACCCAUUACUCAAGAGAUUUGUUCAAUUAGAACUACAAAUCCAUAAUCAAAAUCAAUUGUAGCACAAAUUCAUUACCUAAGAAGAGAUCUAGUAGCAUCAAUAAUACUAGAAAAUGUAUUCACUUUCAAGUGAAUGCAAGAGCACAAAAGCAUCGUGAGAGCAUCUGGGAAGGUGAACGCAAGGUGUGGCAAGGAGGGCGAUGGUGGGAUGCGACGCAAGAUGAGAAGUAAGCUAGGAAGGGUGGUGCACGCCUCAAAUCCUUGGGCUUCGCUGCACUAGAGCUCGAGCUUUAGUUCUUCUAUUGUUUAGCAAUUCUUCUUGGCUUCAGUCAGCUUUGAGAAAAAUAAUUGAAGAAGUAAAAUAAAAGAAUAAAAGAAUCGAAGAAGAUGGAAAAGAAAAACAAAGAAGAAGAAUAGAAGAAGAAAUAGAAGAACGAAGAAU
rnacentral:misc_RNA from 1 species